rnacentral:sRNA from 1 species
UAUCGAUAUGCAAAGACAAAACAUAUGUUGUAAAAGCAUAUGGUGCGAAAAGUGAAGUGCAUUAAUUGCAAAAUUGCAACUGGAAACAGCUUACUACCAAGUACUAGAGAGUAUGUGCACUACAAGGCAGAGAUGUGUGUGAAAGCAAGCUAACUGCAAGUAUAUCAUCCAGUGGUACAAGAAGAAGUAGCUGAGAAGACUCCGCGUCCCAAACAUCGAGUAGUGCCGCUAGUUUAGUUAAGUGCGUUUGUGUUGAUAUUAGUCAGUGCACUGUAGUAUUUGUUUACUGCAUGUAU